CUAAGUACCCUGAGGAAAAGAAAUCAACCGAGAUUCCCUUAGUAGUGGCGAGCGAACGGGGACUAGCCCUUAAGUGGCUUUGAGAUUAGCGGAACGCUCUGGAAAGUGCGGCCAUAGUGGGUGAUAGCCCUGUACGCGAAAAUCUCUUGGCCAUGAAAUCGAGUAGGACGGAGCACGAGAAACUUUGUCUGAAUAUGGGGGGACCAUCCUCCAAGGCUAAAUACUACUGACCGACCGAUAGCGAACCAGUACCGUGAGGGAAAGGCGAAAAGAACCCCGGAGAGGGGAGUGAAAUAGAUCCUGAAACCGUAUGCGUACAAGCAGUGGGAGCAGACUUCGUUCUGUGACUGCGUACCUUUUGUAUAAUGGGUCAGCGACUUAUUUUCAGUGGCGAGCUUAACCGAAUAGGGGAGGCGUAGCGAAAGCGAGUCUUAAUAGGGCGUCUAGUCGCUGGGAAUAGACCCGAAACCGGGCGAUCUAUCCAUGGGCAGGUUGAAGGUUAGGUAACACUGACUGGAGGACCGAACCGACUACCGUUGAAAAGUUAGCGGAUGACCUGUGGAUCGGAGUGAAAGGCUAAUCAAGCUCGGAGAUAGCUGGUUCUCCUCGAAAGCUAUUUAGGUAGCGCCUCAUGUAUCACUGUAGGGGGUAGAGCACUGUUUCGGCUAGGGGGUCAUCCCGACUUACCAAACCGAUGCAAACUCCGAAUACCUACAAGUGCCGAGCAUGGGAGACA
rnacentral:rRNA from 1 species